GAUGAACGCUGGCGGCGUGCCUAAUACAUGCAAGUCGAGCGAACGGACGUGAAGCUUGCUUCUCUGAUGUUAGCGGCGGACGGGUGAGUAACACGUGGAUAACCUACCUAUAAGACUGGGAUAACUUCGGGAAACCGGAGCUAAUACCGGAUAAUAUUUUGAACCGCAUGGUUCAAAAGUGAAAGACGGUCUUGCUGUCACUUAUAGAUGGAUCCGCGCUGCAUUAGCUAGUUGGUAAGGUAACGGCUUACCAAGGCAACGAUGCAUAGCCGACCUGAGAGGGUGAUCGGCCACACUGGAACUGAGACACGGUCCAGACUCCUACGGGAGGCAGCAGUAGGGAAUCUUCCGCAAUGGGCGAAAGCCUGACGGAGCAACGCCGCGUGAGUGAUGAAGGUCUUCGGAUCGUAAAACUCUGUUAUUAGGGAAGAACAUAUGUGUAAGUAACUGUGCACAUCUUGACGGUACCUAAUCAGAAAGCCACGGCUAACUACGUGCCAGCAGCCGCGGUAAUACGUAGGUGGCAAGCGUUAUCCGGAAUUAUUGGGCGUAAAGCGCGCGUAGGCGGUUUUUUAAGUCUGAUGUGAAAGCCCACGGCUCAACCGUGGAGGGUCAUUGGAAACUGGAAAACUUGAGUGCAGAAGAGGAAAGUGGAAUUCCAUGUGUAGCGGUGAAAUGCGCAGAGAUAUGGAGGAACACCAGUGGCGAAGGCGACUUUCUGGUCUGUAACUGACGCUGAUGUGCGAAAGCGUGGGGAUCAAACAGGAUUAGAUACCCUGGUAGUCCACGCCGUAAACGAUGAGUGCUAAGUGUUAGGGGGUUUCCGCCCCUUAGUGCUGCAGCUAACGCAUUAAGCACUCCGCCUGGGGAGUACGACCGCAAGGUUGAAACUCAAAGGAAUUGACGGGGACCCGCACAAGCGGUGGAGCAUGUGGUUUAAUUCGAAGCAACGCGAAGAACCUUACCAAAUCUUGACAUCCUUUGACAACUCUAGAGAUAGAGCUUUCCCCUUCGGGGGACAAAGUGACAGGUGGUGCAUGGUUGUCGUCAGCUCGUGUCGUGAGAUGUUGGGUUAAGUCCCGCAACGAGCGCAACCCUUAAGCUUAGUUGCCAUCAUUAAGUUGGGCACUCUAAGUUGACUGCCGGUGACAAACCGGAGGAAGGUGGGGAUGACGUCAAAUCAUCAUGCCCCUUAUGAUUUGGGCUACACACGUGCUACAAUGGACAAUACAAAGGGCAGCGAAACCGCGAGGUCAAGCAAAUCCCAUAAAGUUGUUCUCAGUUCGGAUUGUAGUCUGCAACUCGACUACAUGAAGCUGGAAUCGCUAGUAAUCGUAGAUCAGCAUGCUACGGUGAAUACGUUCCCGGGUCU
rnacentral:rRNA from 1 species